CACUCACGUUUGUGUGGCGAGUAAGGCGGUUCAGCCCCAUUCGGCUGGAACAAUGAAGUGUUCAAAUCAGAUGUUGUAUCAAGUGUAAAUUGAGGCAGCGGACCACCUGGAUACAUUGCUGUUAAACAAUCUGUAGACUGGAACUUAUUCAUGUAGUGCUUCAUUUAGUGCAUGACCGACUAGAGUGCAAAAUGAAAAUCGGCCAGGGCAAGACGGUCAGCUGAUGGAGAAUCAUUUGGCGCCCUCGACGAGAAGACUGCAACCACGACAUUAGUCCAGUGGAAACAAGACAGUUUUUCGAUGGAUGUACUGCGUUUGAAUCCAAUUCAUAGCGGAAGAAGUUCUCUGCUCCAUUUUCAGAACACCAAUCCCUGGGAGCCAAGAUGGACGGCCAGACGACACGAAUCAUAAAUAAACGACCAGGUCACCACAUUGGAUUGCACUUUCGUAAUGAAAUGCAGUCCCAGCAUCUUCUGAAACAGUAAUUGCACCUUAAAGAAAAUAUGUGAAGCCUAUAUAUAUAUGAGAAUAGUUAAUACAAGGUUUAACAUCUUGCAAUAAACUUAAUCUCGCUGACUGUA